GAUGAACGCUGGCUACAGGCUUAACACAUGCAAGUCGAGGGGAAACGACGGGGAAGCUUGCUUCCCCGAGCGUCGACCGGCGCACGGGUGAGUAACGCGUAUCCAACCUGCCUCUGACUGAGGGAUAACCCGUCGAAAGUCGGCCUAAUACCUCAUGGCAUCGUCUGCGGGCAUCCAACGACGAUUAAAGAUUUCAUCGGUCAGAGAUGGGGAUGCGUCUGAUUAGCUUGUUGGCGGGGUAACGGCCCACCAAGGCGACGAUCAGUAGGGGUUCUGAGAGGAAGGUCCCCAACAUUGGAACUGAGACACGGUCCAAACUCCUACGGGAGGCAGCAGUGAGGAAUAUUGGUCAAUGGGCGAGAGCCUGAACCAGCCAAGUAGAGUGCAGGAUGACGGCCCUAUGGGUUGUAAACUGCUUUUAUGCGGGGAUAAAGUGAGGGACGUGUCCUUCAUUGAAGGUACCGCAUGAAUAAGGACCGGCUAAUUCCGUG
rnacentral:rRNA from 1 species